rnacentral:lncRNA from 10 species
GCUUCAGAUUGCUGAGAAUGAAUCAUAUCAUUCCUUUCAGAAGACAGAAUUUAUGGCUGGCCAGUAAGGCAUGAUCCAAAAUCUUUGGCAGGAAUCUGAUUUGCAUUCUCUUCUGACUUGGUAGCAAGCAGGACCCUCCUCAAACGCCUUGUUAGUGUUUCUGUGGAGAGGAAUAAGGAAGGACCAGGUGCGAGGAGUUCCCUGGGUUCGGUGGAAACGCAUGGCUGCGUGAGUGUUAGAGAUUUUGAGGAAAAUCUCCUGUGCUGAAUAGCAGACCUCAGUUUUUCAUCCUGGUUAAUCCUCUUAAGCCUUUGUACAUAUGCAAAGAUUUCCAAACUUUGGAGUGCUAAAUCAGAAGCUUUCAGCAACAGUCUUCCUUGGCAUCCCCCUGUUUCCUUAGCAAUAUGGUGGUCUAAUGCUGAGCAUAAGGAAGCCAGUUAGGAAAGUGCAUCUAUGUGGAUACAGGGGAAGAGCAAUCCUUAUUAUCUUGAGUCCUCUGAUGCUGGGAUGGCUUCAAUGCUUGAUCUUGAGGUAACAGCAGGAAUCAACUGGUCUUCAAUCCCUUGCGGACAGUGAGGACAGUGCGUUACAACCACUCUGGCUCACAAUAGCUACUCAAUAGCUUUCUUCAACGUUGUUGCAUUACUGAAUGUAUUACUUUUAGAAAUUAAAUUACAGCCAUCUUCUGCAGUUGGUAUAAAUUCAUUCCUUUCUCUUAAACAUUUCAAUCUCUUCUUCAGAGUUUGAUAGUUUUUGACCACUGAUUCCUUCCUGAAAUUCUUUCUUCCCUAGGAUAUAUACCCUUAUGGAAUUACUUUUGGUUUUCACUGCUCAAUUUUCUUCUUUCUUCCUCUUCUUCUAUAUGUACUUUCCCCAAAGAUCUACACGUUAACUUUUUCUCUUUUCUUCCUAAACCAGCCCUCUACAAUCUUGUCCAUGUCAAGGAAUUCAGCUUUCUCCUAGUCAUAUCCUAAUCUCUUUCUGCACUCAGCCCCACUCCUGGAACUUCACUCUUGUCCUCUUUCAAAGUCCUAGUUCCAGAUUUCUAACUUCUUAAAGAAGCCACCACUCUUCCUUAACUAGGAAAAAUAAUUAAAUAAUGAAGUCAUGUUGUAAUCCCUGUUUUUCCUUGGCCUCACUUUCAAUCGGUUCAUAAAUUCAUAAAACAUCUAUAAAUUGAGUCCCUGCCAGCAAGAAGGCAUUGUGUUAGUGCUGCAGGUGUAAGACUUGGGCCCUGCCUUCAAGAAUGUAAACGAGCCUCAAUUUAUAACAUCUUAUUCCUCCUUUUUGUUUCUGCCAUUGACCUGUUUUGCAGUAGUCUCACUUCCCACAUGAACUAUUGCAAUGAACUAUUUUUCUGGUCUUCCUGCCUCCAGCAUCUUGCUUCUCCAGUUAAUCCUAACUUUGGUGCUAGAAAAGACAUUUCUGGAUCAUACCACUCAUCAGUGUGAUCCCUUGAUUAAAAACUUCCCAUCUCCCCCCUCACCACCAUCCCCUACACCCAUUUGACUACACUUACCAAAAAAUUUUAAGGAAAAGCUUGGCACAAUCUCUACUGAUGUUCUGAGAAACACCAUAUUUCCUCUGAAAUGAUUUUUGCCUUUAAACUAUACCAAUUGGGUUGAGAAGAGUCUUUAUGGCUUAGAAUCAAAUGAAACAUUUUACCUGGUGACAAAAACCAAGAGUAUGUUAGAUUCAAAGAACUGUUUCAUCACUGUCUGAAGAAAUGUUUCAUUAGUGUCUUCAUAAAAAGAGAUAGACAAAAUUAUGUCUUUC